rnacentral:rRNA from 1 species
GACGGAGGAUGCAAGCGUUAUCCGGAAUUACUGGGCGUAAAGGGCGUCUAGGCGGUCCUGUAAGUCACCUGUGAAAGCCCUCGGCUUAACCGGGGAAGGUCGGGUGAUACUGCUAGACUUGGGUGUAGGAGAGGAGAGUGGAACUCACAGAGUAGCGGUGGAAUGCGUAGAUACUGUGAGGUACCCCGAUGGCGAAGGCAACUCUCUGGCCUACUACCGACGCUGAAGCGCGAAAGCGUGGGGAGCAAAGGGGAUUAGAUACCCGCGUA